rnacentral:rRNA from 1 species
AGUGGCAGACGGGUGAGUAACGCGUGGGAAUCUACCCAGUAGUACGGAACAACAGUUAGAAAUGACUGCUAAUACCGUAUACGCCCUCCGGGGGAAAGAUUUAUUGCUAUUGGAUGAGCCCGCGUUUGAUUAGCUAGUUGGUGAGGUAAUGGCUCACCAAGGCGACGAUCAAUAGCUGGUCUGAGAGGAUGAUCAGCCACACUGGGACUGAGACACGGCCCAGACUCCUACGGGAGGCAGCAGUGGGGAAUAUUGGACAAUGGGCGAAAGCCUGAUCCAGCCAUGCCGCGUGUGUGAUGAAGGCCCUAGGGUUGUAAAGCACUUUCAACGGUGAAGAUAAUGACGGUAACCGUAGAAGAAGCUCCGGCUAACUUCGUGCCAGCAGCCGCGGUAAUACGAAGGGAGCUAGCGU